AUUGAACGCUGGCGGCAUGCUUUACACAUGCAAGUCGAACGGUAACAGGGAGCUUGCUCCGCUGACGAGUGGCGAACGGGUGAGUAAUGCGUCGGAACGUGCCGAGUAGUGGGGGAUAACGCAUCGAAAGGUGUGCUAAUACCGCAUACGAACUGAGGUUGAAAGUGGGGGACCUUCGGGCCUCACGCUAUUCGAGCGGCCGACGUCUGAUUAGCUAGUUGGUGAGGUAAAGGCUCACCAAGGCGACGAUCAGUAGCGGGUCUGAGAGGAUGAUCCGCCACACUGGGACUGAGACACGGCCCAGACUCCUACGGGAGGCAGCAGUGGGGAAUUUUGGACAAUGGGCGCAAGCCUGAUCCAGCCAUGCCGCGUGUCUGAAGAAGGCCUUCGGGUUGUAAAGGACUUUUGUCCGGGAGCAAAUACCCAGUGCUAAUAACGCUGGGGGCUGAGAGUACCGGAAGAAUAAGCACCGGCUAACUACGUGCCAGCCGCCGCAGUAACAC
rnacentral:rRNA from 1 species